UGAUGAACAAAACCAAAUCACCAUCUUUCGGCUGA
rnacentral:snoRNA from 1 species